CUCUUUCUCUCCUCUCCUCCCUUCCCUUCUUCCCUGGGCCCUGGGACCCCUUUCCUUGGGUCCUGUCAUCUGGAGGAAAGAUGAGGAAACUGAAGCUCAGUUGCUUACCUGAAUUGCUCAGAGCCACACACCUACAAAGCAGUGGAGCUAACCUACCUGACUUUCAGACCACCGCUGCUUCCUCCAGGAAUCACCAAACACACCUUGUAGGAAUUAUGAAUGUCCUGCAGAGGCUGAAAACCCCUCCAUGAGCAUAACUAAGGGAAACCAUAAUUAACAGUUGUUACCCCUGUCCUGAAAUCAAAGACCAAAAAUCUUUUUUGGGCUUCCAUUGUCCCCAUUGAUUGGACAAUUAUACUUCUGAAUAAGAACACUUUCUCUGAAUGCCAUUAUAAAGAACAAAGAGGAUACACAAUAGUAAAAUGCUUAGAACAAUGCCUGGCCUACAGUGAGUUCUCAACAAAUUUUUAGUCAUCUUCUCCUAGAAUGUUAUUGUCAAGACACAAGAUCCACACAAACAAGAAGCCUGUAUUUUAUCAAGCCCUCUAUAGUUGUUCCUAAUACUGUUCUUUGGACUGUUUUUCCACUGAAGUGUGGUCAAAACAUAGAAUAUUUGCAAGAAAGCAUCCUCAAAGCAAUGCUACUGUUAUCCUUAC
rnacentral:lncRNA from 1 species